GCUCAGAUUUACGCUGGCGGCAGACCUAACACAUGCAAGUCUAGAGGCAGCGGACAGUAGCUUGCUACUUUGCUGACGAGCGGCGGACGGGUGAGUAAUGUCUGGGAAACUGCCUGAUGGAGGGGGAUAACUACUGGAAACGGUAGCUAAUACCGCAUAACGUCGCAAGACCAAAGAGGGGGACCUUCGGGCCUCUUGCCAUCAGAUGUGCCCAGAUGGGAUUAGCUAGUAGGUGGGGUAACGGCUCACCUAGGCGACGAUCCCUAGCUGGUCUGAGAGGAUGACCAGCCACACUGGAACUGAGACACGGUCCAGACUCCUACGGGAGGCAGCAGUGGGGAAUAUUGCACAAUGGGCGCAAGCCUGAUGCAGCCAUGCCGCGUGUAUGAAGAAGGCCUUCGGGUUGUAAAGUACUUUCAGCGGGGAGGAAGGCGAUAAGGUUAAUAACCUUGUCGAUUGACGUUACCCGCAGAAGAAGCACCGGCUAACUCCGUGCCAGCAGCCGCGGUAAUACGGAGGGUGCAAGCGUUAAUCGGAAUUACUGGGCGUAAAGCGCACGCAGGCGGUCUGUCAAGUCGGAUGUGAAAUCCCCGGGCUCAACCUGGGAACUGCAUUCGAAACUGGCAGGCUAGAGUCUUGUAGAGGGGGGUAGAAUUCCAGGUGUAGCGGUGAAAUGCGUAGAGAUCUGGAGGAAUACCGGUGGCGAAGGCGGCCCCCUGGACAAAGACUGACGCUCAGGUGCGAAAGC
rnacentral:rRNA from 1 species